AGUCGAGCGGAGAUAGUCCCUUCGGGGUCUAUUUUAGCGGCGGACGGGUGAGUAACACGUGGGUAACCUGCCUAUCACAGGGGAAUAACAAUGAGAAAUCAUUGCUAAAGCCCCAUAAGCUCCCGGCACCGCAUGGUGCAGCGAGAAAAUAUUUAUAGGUGAGAGAGGGGCCCGCGUCUGAUUAGCUAGUUGGUAGGGUAAAAGCCUACCAAGGCGACGAUCAGUAGCCGACCUGAGAGGGUGACCGGCCACAUUGGGACUGAGACACGGCCCAAACUCCUACGGGAGGCAGCAGUGGGGAAUAUUGCACAAUGGGGGAAACCCUGAUGCAGCAACGCCGCGUGAAGGAUGAAGGGUUUCGGCUCGUAAACUUCUUUAGGCAGGGAAGAAAGAAAUGACGGUACCUGCAGAAUAAGCACCGGCUAAAUACGUGCCAGCAGCCGCGGUAAUACGUAUGGUGCAAGCGUUAUCCGGAAUUACUGGGUGUAAAGGGUGAGUAGGCGGUGAGAUAAGUCAUAUGUGAAAGCCCCGGGCUUAACCCGGGGAUUGCAUAAGAAACUGUCUGACUAGAGUACAGGAGAGGUAAGCGGAAUUCCUAGUGUAGCGGUGAAAUGCGUAGAUAUUAGGAAGAACACCAGUGGCGAAGGCGGCUUACUGGACUGAAACUGACGCUGAGUCACGAAAGCGUGGGGAGCGAACAGGAUUAGAUACCCUG
rnacentral:rRNA from 1 species